UACAGAGGGGGCAAGCGUUGUUCGGAAUUACUGGGCGUAAAGGGCGCGUAGGCGGCCUGCUAAGUCGAACGUGAAAUCCCUGGGCUCAACCCAGGAACUGCGUCCGAUACUGGAUGGCUUGAAUCCGGGAGAGGGAUGCAGAAUUCCAGGUGUAGCGGUGAAAUGCGUAGAUAUCUGGAGGAAUACCGGUGGCGAAGGCGAGUCUCUGGGAUGAUGCUGACGCUGAGGCGCGAAAGCCAGGGGAGCAAACGGG
rnacentral:rRNA from 1 species